rnacentral:rRNA from 1 species
UACGGGGGGUGCGAGCGUUGUCCGGAAUCACUGGGCGUAAAGGGCGCGUAGGUGGCGUGAUAAGGGUGUGGUGAAAGCCCGGGGCUCAACCCCCGGGUCUGCCAUGCCGACUGUCAGGCUAGAGUACUGUAGGGGCAGGCGGAAUUCCGGGUGUAGCGGUGGAAUGCGUAGAGAUCCGGAGGAAGACCGGUGGCGAAGGCGGCCUGCUGGGCAGUUACUGACACUGAGGCGCGACAGCGUGGGGAGCAAACAGG